rnacentral:rRNA from 1 species
UACAGAGGUCUCAAGCGUUGUCCGGAUUUAUUGGGCGUAAAGAGCUCGUAGGCGGCUUGUCGCGUCGUCUGUGAAAUCCCACGGCUCAACUGUGGGCUUGCAGUCGAUACGGGCAGGCUGGAGUUCGGUAGGGGAGACUGGAAUUCCUGGUGUAGCGGUGAAAUGCGCAGAUAUCAGGAGGAACACCGGUGGCGAAGGCGGGUCUCUGGGCCGAUACUGACGCUGAGGAGCGAAAGCGUGGGGAGCGAACAGG